GGGAUUGUAGUUCAAUCGGUCAGAGCACCGCCCCGUCAGGGCCAGAGCUGCGGGUUCGAGCCCCGUCAGUCCCG
rnacentral:tRNA from 1 species